CAUGGCACCAGAGGCCGGGAUCCAACUUCCGGCAUUGCUGAGGCCCCCAGAGUGCCUGUCCCCCUCCCCUAAGCAUCCUCCAGUUCACAACACAGAAAGGAGACACAGCUGGGCCCCACACAGGGGCUGGCCUAGGAGAGCUGCGCCCAGGAAAGACAAAUGAUAAAACCAGCCCGUCUCAGACAUCGAGAAACAAGCACAGUGCCUGACAGGUACUUGAUCCCCAGGGGAGGAACCACAAGUUCCUGAGUCACAGACACGCGUUCUAAUCCAGCCGCGGUGACUUGCUGGCCUUGUGACCCCGGGCAAGCUGAGUCAUUUCUGCCUGCUGCCUGCGGGCUGCCUGCCUCCACUGAGAUUUCUUUACUUGAGAGACUCAGAAAUUCAACCAGACUGGCUUCAGCCCCAGAGAGUGAAG
ensembl:lncRNA